AAAAUGAACAAGAAAACAAUAUUAUAAACGAGAAUUACGUUCCUCGAUACGCAAAGUUGGAUUUUCCUAAGUUCAAUGGAAUGGAAGAUCUAUUAAGAUGGCUGGAUCGAUAUGGGCAUUUCUUUCACUACCAAAAUGUUGUAGAUACCAAACGACUAGCAAUAGCUUCCUUACACUUUUAGGGGAAGGCUCGAAUCUAGAUCCUUCAACUCGAAAAGAACCACCCAGGACCAAUAUAAUUGGAGAUUUGAUCCAACGGCUAGGGAAUACCAACUGGAAGAACUCAUCAAUUCUUAACAAUUUGAAUUCGUCAAUAAGCAUAAGGAAGAUUUGAUCAACCGAUCACCAGAGCUGGGCCGCUAACAUCCAAUCAAAAACUACAACAAUUCAUAGUCGGGCUCAAAAUUACAAUUAAUUAGGAGCUCAAGAUUCAGUGACCUGUGAACAAUGAAGAUGCUACAAGUUUAGCUUGA
rnacentral:misc_RNA from 1 species